GAUGAACGCUGGCGGCGUGCCUAAUACAUGCAAGUCGAGCGAACAGAUGAGGAGCUUGCUCCUCUGACGUUAGCGGCGGACGGGUGAGUAACACGUGGAUAACCUACCUAUAAGACUGGGAUAACUUCGGGAAACCGGAGCUAAUACCGGAUAAUAUAUUGAACCGCAUGGUUCAAUAGUGAAAGACGGUUUUGCUGUCACUUAUAGAUGGAUCCGCGCCGCAUUAGCUAGUUGGUAAGGUAACGGCUUACCAAGGCAACGAUGCGUAGCCGACCUGAGAGGGUGAUCGGCCACACUGGAACUGAGACACGGUCCAGACUCCUACGGGAGGCAGCAGUAGGGAAUCUUCCGCAAAGGGCGAAAGCCUGACGGAGCAACGCCGCGUGAGUGAUGAAGGUCUUCGGAUCGUAAAACUCUGUUAUUAGGGAAGAGCAAAUGUGUAAGUAACUAUGCACGUCUUGACGGUACCUAAUCAGAAAGCCACGGCUAACUACGUG
rnacentral:rRNA from 1 species